rnacentral:lncRNA from 1 species
CUCCACCAACGGGGUCAGCAUAACGAUGACAGUGCAGCCACUCUCCCACACCAUCUAAGGACAGAGAUCCAGCCAGGCAUGCUGGACCACGCCUGUAUCCUACACUCUGGAGGUAGAGGCAGGAACAUGAGUUUUUCAGAGCAUCCUAGACUACAGCAAAACCACAUAUCAAGAAGAAGAAAGCCCUAAUAACCUACAAUAACCUCCGUGGAGAUGGGAGCUGCUGGCCUCCCUGACUGGACACUCACCAAGAUUUCUUCCUGUGCCCUUGGGCAGCAACUGCAGCAGGGUCAAGAGGGUAGAAAGCUGCUCCGGGGUCAGCUGACGCAGCUCUACUCCAUAACCUGCCAGUAUAGCAGCCAAUCUCUGCAAACUCACAUCUG